rnacentral:lncRNA from 1 species
GCCAGGUGUAUUGGAUUAAAAGCCCACCCUACUCUAGUAUGACCUCAUCCUAUUUACAUAUGCAAUGACUCUACUUCCAAAUAAUUUCACAUUCUGAGGUACUGGGGAUUACUUCAACAUAUGAAUUUCGAGGGGCACAAUUUAACCAAUAACAAUUAUUUUCCUGAUCACUCUUGUAUGUUGGGUGUGUGCACAGGAGCAGCUAACUUGUUUACAGGUUUUCAGACAGGAAGAAAAUGUUCUUGAGGAAUUGUACCCAUAAACCUCUUCUACAUCUGCAUUUGAUUUGUCUGAAGAGAUCCUAGAUUUCAAGAUCACUGCAUUGGGAUAAAAUUACAGGGAUCUUAGAGGAGUGGCAAGUGUAUUUUGCAGGUGGGAGGGAUGUGAAUUGUUGUGGACUGAGGAGGUGGAUUCUGGCAGACUGUAACCAAGGAGAGCCACAGUAUCCCAUCCUGCAUGAUCUUCUGGACAGGACCUUGCCACUUCUCCAUCAAAAGUUGUGGUCUAUUAUCUUUCCCUUGAAUCCUUGCUGACCUUAACAAACUCAUUUGGCCAAUAGAAUGUGGGAGAUAUGACAGUCUAAUAUUGAUGACUCAAACUCAUGUAAGCAUCAUUACAGCCUCUGUCUAGAUAUCUUGGAGAAUUUGUUCUUGGGGGAUUCCUUUUUGGAAUCCAUUUACCUUAGUGUGAAAAGCCCAUGGAAAGACCAUAUUCACAAGCUCCACCUACAUUUCCAGCCAAUGCCAGCACGAUCUUUCAGACACGUGAAUGAGUUUAUCUUGGGAUAUGCAACGAAUUUGAGCUUUUAGAUGACUGAAGCCCCUAACAACGCCUGCCUUCAAGCAUUUGAAAAAUUAGAAUAGAAAACCACGUAGCUCAGCCCAGUUCCUCUCAGAACCACAACAUUUACAAAUAGUUUUAAUGCAUUACCAUUCAAAAUCUCACAGACGUGUGUGUGCGUGCGUGUGUGUGAGUGUGUGUGUGUACUGGUAAAAGAGAUUUGAGGAAAUGUUCAAGGAUCAUCUGAAAAAAAAAGAAGAAAAUAUAUUAGCAAAGAAAAUUUCGAAAACAAAAGUAACGAUGGGGGAUUUACUAGUAAAUUGAAACAUUUUCAAGCUACCAUAGUCAAAAUGCUGACACUGGCACAGAAAGAGAGACAUUAUAGCAGGAGAGGGAGAGAGAGAGAGAAAGAGAGAGAGAGAGGAGAACUCUAUAGUUUACUUCAAGAUGGAAUAAAAGUUAACUAUAAUAAAUACAUUAUUUUCAGAUAACUAUACAUUUAACUAUAAUUAGUGAAACCACAAAAUAGAGUCUGUGGCUAUAACCUUAGACAUAUCUACCAUAUUCUCUCUGCCAGGUUAUACUAAUAGCCUCCUAUCUUGCUCUUUUGCUUCUAUUUAGACCCACUUCCAAGCCAUUUUUCCA